rnacentral:tRNA from 1 species
GCCUGGCUAGCUCAAUCGGUAGAGCAUUUGACUCUUAAUCAAAAGGUUGCGGGUUCGAGCCCCGCGUUGGGCC